UUGUUUGUGGUUUGUUGUUGUUGUUACUAGGACUUGACAAAGGGACACUUUGCCACAGAGUCACUUCCCCAGCUCUUUUUUAUUAUUUAUUUAUAUAUUUAUUAUUUACUUUGAAACAAGUUCUCACUGAGUUAUGUGGAGCCUUACUCAAUUACUGAAGAUGGCCUUGAACUUGGAGAUCUUCCCAUCUUUCUCAGCCAUCAGAGUCUCUAGGAUGAUAGAAGAAAUGGGCCACCAUGCCUGAUCUUUUGUUAUCUUACACUCCGUGCUAGAAGCAAUGAAUGGAGAGACACUACUUUCACCACUGGUUGAGAUGUUUCAGUGUUGUGAAGACAGGAAAAUAAUCAAAGAUGUGGAUGUUAGUGAUAGUGGUAAUAUAUGGUCGGUGGUGGUUACUUAGGAACAAGAACCAAGGAGCCUGAGCAUGGGAAAGAAACACCUGUCAAUCAGCAGAGUCUUCUGGCCAAUCCUGGAUUUCAUCCAGUUUCACCAACCAACUUUACCAGGAUAAGAGACUCUAAAAACACCUUUUCCUGUCCCAAGCCCUUCCCUUCCUGCCUUAAGCCCCAUAAACUUCCAGUCCCAUGGAGCUCCCACCCGUUUUCUCCUGUGACUCUUCUCCUGUUUACUCUGUCUGUCUGAUCAAGUUCUGCCCUGGAGCAUCAUCUCAAAUAAAGCCUCAUUCAGCGGCCUUUUAAAA